rnacentral:misc_RNA from 1 species
GAUGAAGAACGUAGCGAAAUGCGAUACGUAAUGUGAAUUGCAGAAUUCAGUGAAUCAUCGAAUCUUUGAACGCAUAUUGCGCUCUCUGGUAUUCCGGAGAGCAUGCUUGUUUGAGUAUCAGUAAACACCUCAACUUCCAUAUCUUUUUUUGGAAAUGGGAGUUGGACUUGAGUGAUCCCAACGCUUUUCCUCACCGAAAAGUGGCGGGUUACUUGAAAUGCAGGUGCAGCUGGACUUUUCUCUGAGCUAUAAGCAUAUCUAUUUAGUCUGCCUAAAAAACAGAUUAUUACCUUUGCUGCAGCUAACAUAAAGGAGAUUAGUUCUUGUGCUGACUGAUGCAGGAUUCACAAAGACAGCUUCGGCCGACUUUGUAAACUCGAUCUCAAAUCAAGUAAGACUACCCGCUGAACUUAAGCAUAUCAAUAAGCGGAGGA